GACGGAGGAUGCAAGUGUUAUCCGGAAUCACUGGGCGUAAAGCGUCUGUAGGUGGUUUAAUAAGUCAACUGUUAAAUCUUGAGGCUCAACCUCAAAAUCGCAGUCGAAACUAUUAGGCUAGAGUAUAGUAGGGGUAAAGGGAAUUUCCAGUGGAGCGGUGAAAUGCGCAGAGAUUGGAAAGAACACCGAUGGCGAAGGCACUUUACUGGGCUAUUACUAACACUCAGAGACGAAAGCUAGGGUAGCAAAUGGG
rnacentral:rRNA from 1 species